rnacentral:rRNA from 1 species
AUCUGGAAGGCACGAAACGCAUGCGUCUUCAAUGGAGCUACUCCCUCCAUCCCGCUUAUCGUCAAUGACAUCAAAGAGGAAGCCCGUUGUUGGGCCGCCGUCGGAGCCAAGGGGCUCAGCAAUUUGCUCCUGCCUGCGUAG